CUUGAUGGAGCCCAGCAGGAGGGGCUCGGAGCGGUCCUGACCGUAGGUGGCCAGCAACGCCUGGGCCUC
rnacentral:antisense_RNA from 1 species